rnacentral:lncRNA from 1 species
GCAGAGCUGUGCGUGCCUGCCGAGGCUGGGCAGCAGACUUCAGACUGGGACAUCAUUAGAGAUGCCACGGUCCAGAGGAAGGACACAUCGGCUGAUACAGCUGACCACAGGUUGGAGCAGUGCAUCUCUGGGGAACAUCCAUGAAGACCAACAGAGAAUGAGAAGGACAGAGCAGCAAAGGGCACCUGCAGGGAUGGAACAGCCACCAGGAGCCAGAUGCUUUAACUGAACU